rnacentral:rRNA from 1 species
GAUGAACGCUGGCGGCGUGCCUAAUACAUGCAAGUCGAGCGAACAGACGAGGAGCUUGCUCCUCUGACGUUAGCGGCGGACGGGUGAGUAACACGUGGAUAACCUACCUAUAAGACUGGGAUAACUUCGGGAAACCGGAGCCAAUACCGGAUAAUAUAUUGAACCGCAUGGUUCAAUAGUGAAAGACGGUUUUGCUGUCACUUAUAGAUGGAUCCGCGCCGCAUUAGCUAGUUGGUAAGGUAACGGCUUACCAAGGCAACGAUGCGUAGCCGACCUGAGAGGGGGAACCGCCCAAAUGGAACUGAGACACGGGCCAAAACCCUAACGGGGGGAACAGGGGGGGAAAUUGCCGAAUGGGGGGAAACCUGACCGAGCAAAGCCGCGGGGGUGAAUAAAGUCUUCCGGAUUGAAAACCCUUUUUUUUGGGAAAAAAAAAAUUUGUAAAAAACCAUGCGGUUCUGACGGGACCCAAACAAAAAGCCCCGGCUAACUUACGG